GGUCAGAUGGCCGAGUGGUCUAAGGCGCUGGUUUUAGGCACCAGUCAGUAAUGGCGUGGGUUCGAAUCCCACUCUGAUCA
rfam:Rhabditophanes sp. KR3021 genome assembly, scaffold: RSKR_scaffold0000035